rnacentral:rRNA from 1 species
AGCGAACGCUGGCGGCAGGCUUAACACAUGCAAGUCGAGCGGGCACUUCGGUGUCAGCGGCAGACGGGUGAGUAACACGUGGGAACGUACCCUUUGGUUCGGAAUAACGCUGGGAAACUAGCGCUAAUACCGGAUACGCCCUUUUGGGGAAAGGCUUGCUGCCGAAGGAUCGGCCCGCGUCUGAUUAGCUAGUUGGUGGGGUAAUGGCCUACCAAGGCGACGAUCCGUAGCUGGUCUGAGAGGAUGAUCAGCCACACUGGGACUGAGACACGGCCCAGACUCCUACGGGAGGCAGCAGUGGGGAAUAUUGGACAAUGGGCGCAAGCCUGAUCCAGCCAUGCCGCGUGAGUGAUGAAGGCCUUAGGGUUGUAAAGCUCUUUUGUCCGGGACGAUAAUGACGGUACCGGAAGAAUAAGCCCCGGCUAACUUCGUG